rnacentral:rRNA from 1 species
CACGCAGGUGGCUUGGCAAGUCGGAUGUGAAAGCCCCGGGCUUAACCUGGGAACUGCAUUCGAUACUGCCGAGCUAGAGUAUGGGAGAGGAAAGCGGAAUUCCCGGUGUAGCGGUGAAAUGCGUAGAUAUCGGGAGGAACAUCAGUGGCGAAGGCGGCUUUCUGGCCCAAUACUGACACUCAUGUGCGAAAGCGUGGGGAGCAAACA